CUUACCUCGACACAUCAGCUACUGAUGGAUAAACCUGUCGAGGUGUCAUCUGUAUAUACAGGGAUUGACUAUCUUCAAAACAUUGCAUGUUUAAAAAGUGAUCACAUAUGGGCAGCCCAUGGUGCUGCAUCACUCUUCGACUUCAACAAGAAAGAAAAGAUCAAAUCAUUAAGAUUUGAUAGAGGUCUAUUUGAACGCGUUUACGAUAUUGCUGUGCUUCAAAAUGGAGAAUUAGUUUAUAUCCUUUCUCGAACAAACGCUGUGUACAUUGUACGGAACGAGAAAGCAGAGAUGCUGAUAAUGCUACACGAUUGGGUUCCACGUGGAAUUUGUGUCUCCUUCUUUGGAGACCUGCUAAUCACCAUGACACAUGAAUGUCAAUCCAAAGUUGUUCGGUAUUCUGGAACCGUGGAGAAACAGGUCAUUCAGGUUGAUGAUACUACUAGGUGUGAUUAUUUGUAUAUCACUGAAAAUAGGAACAGGGACAUAUGUAUUUCUAGAGAAGACAUCGUGGAUGUUUUCACGGAAACUGGUGAGCGAAGAUUUGAAUACAUUGGUCAUCGUCCUCCUCCGAAAUGGAACCAGGCAUUCUCUCCAAAGGGAAUUGCCACAGACAGUUACUGUCAUAUCCUUAUUGCUGAUAUCAAUAACAAGUGUGUUCAUGUUAUUGACCAGGAUGGGAAAUUUCUACAAUACAUUGACUGUGGAAUGAGGAGACCUUGGGGACUGUGCAUAGACUCUCAUGAUUUUUUGUACCUGGCCGACAAUAAGAAGAAGAGUAUGCAAAUAGCGAAAGUCAAGUUUCUCAACCUGUGAUUUACUUCUAAAGGAACAAACGUUACAAAAAGUAUCUAUAAAAACAUUCAAAAAGUG
rnacentral:misc_RNA from 1 species